rnacentral:misc_RNA from 1 species
UCGAAAAUAAAGGGUUGUCUGCUGGCCUCUCGGGGCGCGUGCACGCCCAAAUCCACAACACACCUGUGAACCCACCGUAGGCCCUCGGGCUUAUGUAUUAUCAUAUACUCUGAUCAUAGAAUGUAAAUAUUUUGCCUUAAAAACGCAAUGAAAUA